GAUGAACGCUGGCGGCGUGCCUAAUACAUGCAAGUCGAACGAAACUUCUUUAUCACCGAGUGCUUGCACUCACCGAUAGAGAGUUGAGUGGCGAACGGGUGAGUAACACGUGGGCAGCCUGCCCAAAAGAGGGGGAUAACACUUGGAAACAGGUGCUAAUACCGCAUAACCAUAGUUACCGCAUGGUAACUAUGUAAAAGGUGGCUAUACUACCGCUUUUGGAUGGGCCCGCGGCGCAUUAGCUAGUUGGUAGGGUAAAGGCUUACCAAGGCAAUGAUGCGUAGCCGAAUUGAGAGGUUGAUCGGCCACAUUGGGACUGAGACACGGCCCAAACUCCUACGGGAGGCAGCAGUAGGGAAUCUUCCACAAUGGGCGAAAGCCUGAUGGAGCAACGCCGCGUGGGUGAAGAAGGUCUUCGGAUCGUAAAACCCUGUUGUUAGAGAAGAAAGUGCGUGAGAGUAACUGUUCACGUUUCGACGGUACCUAACCAGAAAGCCACGGCUAACUACGUG
rnacentral:rRNA from 1 species